rnacentral:rRNA from 1 species
GUUUGAUCCUGGCUCAGGACGAACGCUGGCGGCGCGCUUAACACAUGCAAGUCGAACGGGUUCUCUUCGGGGGACCAGUGGCGGACGGGUGCGUAACACGUGAGCAACCUGCCGGGUUGCGGGGGAUAACCCUGGGAAACCGGGGCUAAUACCGCAUGAGCUCUUUCCGCCGGAGGGUGGGGAGAGGAAAGGGGCCGCAAGGCUCCGCGACCUGAGGGGCUCGCGGCGUAUCAGCUAGUUGGUGAGGUAACGGCUCACCAAGGCAGUGACGCGUAGGGGGUCUGAGAGGAUGGCCCCCCACAUUGGGACUGAGAUACGGCCCAGACUCCUACGGGAGGCAGCAGUGGGGAAUCUUGCGCAAUGGCCGAAAGGCUGACGCAGCGACGCCGCGUGCGGGAGGAAGGUCUUCGGAUCGUAAACCGCUGUCAGCGGGGACGAACACCCUGGGGAGGCAAUGCCUCAGGGCUGACGGUACCCGCAGAGGAAGCACCGGCUAACUCCGUGCCAGCAGCCGCGGUAAUACGGGGGGUGCGAGCGUUGUUCGGAAUCAUUGGGCGUAAAGCGCGCGCAGGCGGCUCUUUAAGUCUACGGGUGAAAUGCCGGGGCUCAACCCCGUGCCUGCCCGAGAUACUGGAGGGCUAGAGACACGUAGAGGCAAGCGGAAUUCCGGGUGUAGCGGUGGAAUGCGUAGAGAUCCGGAAGAACACCGGAGGCGAAGGCGGCUUGCUGGGCGUGAUCUGACGCUGAGGCGCGAAAGCGUGGGGAGCGAACAGGAUUAGAUACCCUGGUAGUCCACGCCGUAAACGAUGGGCGCUAGGUGUGGGCGGUGUCGACUCCGUCCGUGCCGAAGCUAACGCAUUAAGCGCCCCGCCUGGGGAGUACGGCCGCAAGGCUAAAACUCAAAGGAAUUGACGGGGGCCCGCACAAGCAGCGGAGCAUGUGGUUUAAUUCGACGCAACGCGAAGAACCUUACCAGGGCUUGACAUGCACAGGAAUGUCGUAGAAAUACGGCAGCCCUUCGGGGCCUGUGCACAGGUGGUGCAUGGCUGUCGUCAGCUCGUGUCGUGAGAUGUUGGGUUAAGUCCCGCAACGAGCGCAACCCCUGUCCUAUGUUGCCAGCGAGUAAUGUCGGGGACUCAUGGGAGACUGCCGGUGACAAACCGGAGGAAGGUGGGGAUGACGUCAAGUCAUCAUGCCCCUUAUGCUCUGGGCUACACACGUGCUACAUUGGCCGGUACAAAGGGCUGCAAACCCGUGAGGGGGAGCGAAUCCCAAAAAGCCGGUCCCGGUUCGGAUUGGAGGCUGAAACCCGCCUCCAUGAAGGCGGGGUUGCUAGUAAUCGCGGAUCAGCAAUGCCGCGGUGAAUACGUUCUCGGGCCUUGUACACACCGCCCGUCACACCACGAAAGCCGGCA